CCGCUGCCUCUUCCCUCUCCCUCGCCCGAGCACCGCACAAGCCGCCGAAUCUUGCUCCCUCACGCGAGCACCAAGAAGCUGCAGCCUCUUCCCCCCCCCCCCCCCCCCCCCCCCUUCAUGCAAGCCACGAUCGCCCCUUCGCGCCAACCGCCUGCAGCCGCGGAUCAUCGCCGGAGAAGAAGACACCCCAGCUCCUCUUCCUCCUCGAGCCGCACACCGCCUAGUCUCCUCUUCUCUCCCGAGCCGUGACACCGAACCUCUCCUCUUCUAUCUCUGCCAUAGCACCACCGACCACAACGCCGAGCUCCACAAUCGGCCAGCUAAACCCUAGAUUUGAUCUCGGUGUGUCACCACCCUUGUUGACGUCGUGCCCUAGAUUGGAUCCACUACCUCUUCCAUCGCUUCGAUGCCAUUGCUGUUGGAGAGGCAGGGAGAGGUUACUGAUCUUGUCCAGCAACGGUAGCUUCACUUCACGGCAGCACCUCUCUCCAACGGCGUAUCACCAUUUGGGGGCAUUUGGAAUUGGAGUUUGGGUUGUUAGGUCUACAAGAGGUGGUGUUUUCUUUUGGUUUCCAGCAGCAGCUCUGGUUUUGUUCCCAGCAGCAACUUCAUUGUAACUUCGACUACCAGAUUUUAGCAACGAAUUUCUGCGGUUGCGAAGCGUAGGCUGGGAUAUCGAUUUGGGACUGUAAUUCGAGACGAGCACUUCGACAUUAAAG